GGUUGAAAACAAACUCUUCUCCAGAAAGCAUAGAACGUUAGGAGAGACAAGCAUGGUGGUGGUGGGGAGCACUUGCAGCUGCAGCAGCACCAACCUCGCAAUGUUCCAAUUUUCUACCGUUUUGAUGAGUCCUCUCAAACUCUUAUCUCCUCUCCCUUCUCUACAACUUCAAGCCAUCAAAUUCCCCAGAAAAUCGAUUCUCCACCCCAAAGAACGCGGUGUCCGAGACUGCGUCGUCUUCGAGGAAGGCAUUUUCGAAAACGACAAUCUCCCCAUUUCCCAAAACGACAGUCUCCUCACUAACAAGCCCAGACCCAAAUCGAUGAAGAAAAAGGCGAUGCUUGUGCGCGAUGAAUUGGUUCCUGACAAGUGGAGAGAAACUCAUGCAGAGAUCAAUGACUUCACGAGUAACGAUAGACGCAGGUUUAAGAAGAAGAAGAAGAGAAUAGGGAUUGUUCCCUUCAUGGAUAAGGAGAGGCACAAGAAAAUGGAGAUGAAAAACAAGGUUGAGAUGAAGGGAAAAAGAAGUGCGUUGUUGGAUAUAAACUGGAAUCAAUACAGGGCUUCUAAGAAGGAUAAAUUGACACAGCUCAAUCCUCUCGUUCUCGAUAACCCUUCUACUUUCUCUGUGAAAAAGCAAGUUACAGAACCUGACUUGAAUGGAGAGCGUGUAGAGCCCAAGAAUCCUAGAGGGGUUGUUUAUGGGAAGGGUUUGGAGUAUGUUAAUGAAUUUUUCAAUAGUGGAAGCUAUAACCCCACUCCUAAGACUACUGAAGGUCGUCGGAAGUUGUUUACUAUUACUAAGGAGGAGGUGGUUUUGUUGAAUAAGCGAACACCAGACCUGGCAGCUGCUACUUCAGGUAAAUGGCUUCCUCUGCACACUUUUGCUGCAUGUGGAGAACUUUACCUUUUAGAUUCUCUAUUGAAGCAUAAUGCUGAUAUCUAUGCUGUUGAUAAGGAUGGUUUGACUGUCCUUCACAAAGCAAUUGGGAAAAAGCUCGCCGUAACAGAUUAUCUACUGAGAAACUCAGCUAAUCCAUCUGUACUGGAUAAAGAGGGGGCCACAGUGAUGCACUAUGCUGUACAAACAGCUUCUGCCGAGACAAUUGAAUUACUCUUAUUGUAUAAUGUGGAUAUAAAUCUUCAGGACAAUGAUGGCUGGACACCAUUGCAUCUUGCUGUUCAAACUCAGAAAACAGAUUUAGUUAGGCUUCUGCUGAUUAAAGGUGCUGAUAAGACAUUAAGAAACAAGGAUGGUUUAACUCCACUCGACCUUUGCCUUUACUCUGGUCAAAGUUUCCAAACAUAUGAGUUAAUCAAGUUGUUCAAGCAGCCUCAGGGGCAUCUUAGACGUAUAUGACAAAUGGUGCUAAGAAACAAUACAACUUCUGAAAAAUGAUAUUUUCUCUGGUCAACCAUCGCAGUUGAAUUGCAUAGCUGGAGCCUUUGACGGGUGCUUUUGAAAAUCCCAACAGUGGUCUAAAUCAACCUUGAAUUUGAUAGUUACUUCGUAGUGUGCCCUUUGUACUUGUGCACGAUCUACAUUAAGGAUAUGAAAGUGGAAGAAAGAAAAAAAUACAAUGCUUACUGUAAUGAGUUGGUAGUGUACAGAUGCUUAGUACACGCGAUAUUAUCCUAAGCACUUUUGUGUGUGUGUGUGUGUUAACUUAUGUGGAUGAUAGUGUUUAUCUGUGCCUAAUUGUUGUGUAAUUGCUCAAUUGUAAUUAUUAAAAUAAUUUAUAACAAGAAAAUGGGUAAGGAAUGGAACAUCAAUUCCCUAAAGGGAGUAGGUCAUGGAUGGAAGUUGC